rnacentral:lncRNA from 1 species
GGAACUCUUUGUGUAGACCAGGAUGACUUAGAACUCCUAGGGAUCUGCCUGCCCCUGUCUCCUUAGUGCUGAGAUUAAAGGCAUGUUCCACCAGAGUUAUCAUAUUUUGUUUUGAAGAUGGAGGAACUAAAAGACAUACCCAAACAUCAAAAAACAAACUGUAAAAAUACAGGCGAGAUUCAGAAACACAGCAAGGAGCUAGCCCGGUACCUCUUUCUAGGCUUUCUUGAUGGGUUGUAUUUGGUCCCAGAGAGAGUUAACCCACCAGAGAAGUGGAUCAGAUAGGAAAGAGCUGUCGCCAACUUCAAUUAAUUACCUAAAUGUGGGGCUGUAGGUGGGGAGAUGCUCAAUGUGUUUGACCUUGAAAGCAUGGGAACCUGAAUUUGGUCCUCAAAACUCAUGUAGAAGAGUCAGGCAUGGUGGCAUGUGCUUCAAUCCCAGCAUGUAGGAGACAGAGCCAUGCAGAUCCCUGGGUUUCAGGAGCCAGCCAACCAGAUCAGCAAGUUCCAAGCCAACUGGGAGGCCUCUUCUCAAAAAAACAAAAAAAACAAAAAACAAAAAAAAGGCAGCUCUCUCCCAAGGAAUGAAACCUGAAGUUGAGUGCUGGUCUUCACAGGCAUGCAUACGUAUGGGCGCCAACACCCAUACAUACACAAAGAAGAGGAAAUUGCAUAGUACUUGGCAGAAGUAGGUACUUGGUAUUUCUGCUUUAGUUUUGUUGCUCUAAAAGGGGGGAAAAACAUGUGUGUGAGAGAAUGCUAAAGUGACAUCCGAGAGGAUGACAGAAAUUCAGUUGAGACUGACCUGUGUGGGCCAUGUGUUACCCUUCCCUGGGUCUUUCUAACUCUUGUGCCCCUAGCUUCUGCCAGAGUUUACUGGCAUGCCUCUUUAGCCUGAGAGUGGCUUCAGGAACAGCCUUAACUUUCAGGACUUGUUCAGAAAGGGGUGCAGCUGGAAGGUGUGUUUAUUCAAGUUCAAGUAAGCGGAGGUAACUGCAGGCGUGGUCAGGAACUGUGGCUGGUUCACCUCGACUGCUCGGCACAAGGCCAAAGUCAGCUGUAUUAUGAAUUGCCGUGGCUGUUUUCUUACCCAAGGUCAUUUUAGUUCAUCCAGCCUGCAGCUGAGCAGAAUGCUGCAGUCCAGAGAGAAACGGAAUUGGAGUCCUUCCCCAGGUGCCUGCUAAGCAGAUCCAGUCCUACCCCCAGUCCCACCACAGGGACGCAUGCUGCAGAGGCAGAGGGCACUGCGGUAUACAGCUGAGAUCCAGUCCCAAGCCAGACGCCAUCCCGUCCUUUUACACGCAUACCACCCUCUUCUUUCCUUUCAUUCUCCAAUAGCUUUGAUUCUGGCUGAAGUAGACUUUGGCUCUCAUUGCUGCCCAGGUUUGCCCUUCUUCCAUGUCCUCAUGAUAAGUAAUUGGACAGAAUAGAACAAUUGGGGCUUGGGGGAUGGGGUCGUCAGACUGAGAGAUGUCUGGUAUUGAUACCUAGGGGUUAUUGAGCUGUGAUCCAUAGUGUGUGCUGAUAAUAGAAAGAAUGAUAUACUGCCAUGUCUAUAAGAAGCAGGUAGUUAAGAGGUAUCAGCAUUGUAUGCAAAAUAACAAUGAUUACCAAAAAUUUGGUGAAGGGACAGACUGUAGACAACAGGAACAUUUUUGUUUACUUACAUGUAUUAUUUGUGUAUUUGCCUGUAUAUGAAGGUCAGAGGAGAACUUCAUGGAGUUGGUUCUCUCCCUCCAUUUUUAUGUGAGUACGAGGGAUGGAACUCAGGUCACCAGAUCUGUUCAGCCAGUGGCUUUAGAAGCCCAGUCUGGCUUCAACUUGUUCUCUAAUAUAGGAAGGUCUUUGUCUUCUGCUUCGCCUGCCCCUAGCUCCCAAGUGCUGAAAUUACAGUCGUGUACCACCACACCUCCUGCAUCAUUCCAACUGAGCUCCAUCCCCACCUUGGCAUCCUUUGAGAUCUGACUGCUAGAGGGCAUGGCCACGGAAGGGAGGCUCUGUCUGAUUCUGGUAAGGUUUUCAGUGUGGGUUAUGUCAUCCUUCCAGUGGAAUAGAUGCUUUAGAUCCCUAUCAACAUACUCACUGUUGAAAUCAUUGACUUUCAGGAACUCAUCAAGGAACUACGUGCCUUUAGGCAGGCCUACAUGUUGGCUUAGUAGGAGGUCUUGGUUCUGAGUCUGAGGUUCCUGAUUGCUUACUUUAGUCUGUAUCGUAAAUGUUUGAUUGAGAACUUCCCAUGGGAAUUGUGUUUAUGUGGUGAUACUAAGAUGGAGACCAAAUGGUAGUGUUUGUAUAUGUUCUUGUUUUGGUUUCUUGAGACAAAGUCUCAUUCUGUAGUCCAGGUGAGCCUGGAGCUCUCUGUAUCCACCAGGCUGGCCUCAAACUCAUGUCAACCCUCCCUUUCCAGCCUCUUGAGUGCUAGAAUUACAGGCAUUGAGCAUCUCAAAUGGUUUAACUAAACUGGAGGAGUACACACAAUG